rnacentral:rRNA from 1 species
CUGGCGGCGUGCCUAAUACAUGCAAGUCGAGCGGACCGACGGGAGCUGCUCCCUUAGGUCAGCGGCGGACGGGUGAGUAACACGUGGGUAACCUGCCUGUAAGACUGGGAUAACUCCGGGAAACCGGGGCUAAUACCGGAUGCUUGAUUGAACCGCAUGGUUCAAUCAUAAAAGGUGGCUUUUAGCUACCACUUGCAGAUGGACCCGCGGCGCAUUAGCUAGUUGGUGAGGUAACGGCUCACCAAGGCGACGAUGCGUAGCCGACCUGAGAGGGUGAUCGGCCACACUGGGACUGAGACACGGCCCAGACUCCUACGGGAGGCAGCAGUAGGGAAUCUUCCGCAAUGGACGAAAGUCUGACGGAGCAACGCCGCCGUGAGUGAUGAAGGUUUUCGGAUCGUAAAACUCUGUUGUUAGGGAAGAACAAGUGCCGUUCGAAUAGGGCGGUACCUUGACGGUACCUAACCAGAAAGCCACGGCUAACUACGUGCCAGCAGCGGC